rnacentral:rRNA from 1 species
GUGAGGAAUAUUGGUCAAUGGACGAGAGUCUGAACCAGCCAAGUCGCGUGAAGGAAGACGGUUCUAUGAAUUGUAAACUUCUUUUGUGCAGGAAUAAAGUGGGUUACGUGUAACCUUUUGUAUGUACUGUACGAAUAAGGAUCGGCUAACUCCGUGCCAGCAGCCGCGGUAAUACGGAGGAUCCGAGCGUUAUCCGGAUUUAUUGGGUUUAAAGGGUGCGUAGGUGGAUUGAUAAGUCAGCGGUGAAAGUUUGAAGCUUAACUGUAAAAUUGCCGUUGAAACUGUCGGUCUUGAGUGCAAAUGAGGUAGGCGGAAUGUGUUGUGUAGCGGUGAAAUGCUUAGAUAUAACACAGAACUCCGAUUGCGAAGGCAGCUUACUGGGAUGCAACUGACACUGAUGCACGAAAGCGUGGGUAUCAAACAGGAUUAGAUACCCGAGUAGUCC